rnacentral:rRNA from 1 species
UGGGGAAUAUUGCACAAUGGGCGGAAGCCUGAUGCAGCGACGCCGCGUGGGGGAUGAAGGCCUUCGGGUUGUAAACUCCUUUCGACAGGGACGAAGCUUUUGUGACGGUACCUGUAUAAGAAGCACCGGCUCACUACGUGCCAGCAGCCGCGGUAAUACGUAGGGUGCGAGCGUUGUCCGGAAUUACUGGGCGUAAAGAGAUCGUAGGUGGUUUGUCGCGUCGUCUGUGAAAUUCCGGGGCUUAACUCCGGGCGUGCAGGCGAUACGGGCUGACUUGAGUGCUGUAGGGGAGACUGGAAUUCCUGGUGUAGCGGUGAAAUGCGCAGAUAUCAGGAGGAACACCGAUGGCGAAGGCAGGUCUCUGGGCAGUAACUGACGCUGAGGAGCGAAAGCAUGGGUAGCGAACAGG